GCGCCUCUUGGGUGAUUUAUCUGACCAUCGUCAAAGAGGAACAUGGACCAUGCCUUUGAGGGGUAUGGAUGUUGGACCACCGAUCAAGGGGGAUAAAGUUCAUUCCUUGGGUGAUUUAUUUGACCGUCGUCAAAGGGGGACAUGGGCCAUACCUUUGAGGGGUAUGGAUGUUAGAGGGGUUCCUUGCGAUAAAAGACACAGAAUGAAUAAUACAUCAUUGUCAUAUAUAUAUUUUGUGUUACAAGAGGUUUCCUGGCCACGAUCGGGGUUGAUAUCACAUUUUUAAGCAUAAAAGACUCGGAACUUUGCAGCAUUCCAGCUCCGGGGAAUCUUUUUCUUGGCUAGGUCUUUUAUCUUGUAGGCACCUUACCUGGUCUUAUCUACUACUCGGUAGGGCCCUUCUCAGUUGGGUGCUAGUUUCCCCUUGACCCAACCAAUGUCUGCUCUACGAAGGACCAAAGCUCCAACUUCAAAGUUCAUGGGGACGAUUGAGGAGUUAUAUUUCUCUAUUGUCCUCAUUUUGGCAGUCGCUUCUCUUAUCCUGGAACAGUCUCUCUUUUCCUCAAUCCAAUACAGGUUGUGCCUAAUUAAGGUUGGAUUGGCCUCUUCAUUAAAGUGCAAAGUUCUCCAUGUAGGUUCUCAUAUUUCCAUUGGGAUCAUGGCCUCAACGGCAUAUGUGAGGUUGAAAAGGGACUCGCCGGUUGUGGAAUGUGGAGUUGUUCGGUAAGCCCAAAGCACAUGAUGGAGAUGGUUGGGCCAAGUUCCCUUAGCUUCGUCUAGCCUUUUCUUGAUUCCACUUAGCCUUUUCUUCUCAUUUUCUUUGUCACCUUGUUAUAACUAUUUCAAACUAAAACUCUCAAUAUCAAAAUUUUUUUGUCUUCAUGUCUUAAAUCAAUC
rnacentral:lncRNA from 1 species